AAACUUACUUUUUAUUUUAUUUUUAUAUAACUGAGUUUUUUUAUUGCUGAACAAUAGUACAAAGAGUUUUUGAGAGCAGGGAGAGCUCCAUUAAAAAAAUAGAAAACUAAAAAAAAUAAUUUGAAGAUUUUGAGUUUUAACGAUAAUGGCAAAAUAAAGGGUAAAAUGAAUAGUACAAGGAUUGAAUUUUUAAUGUAAAAAUAU
rnacentral:lncRNA from 1 species